rnacentral:rRNA from 1 species
AUUGAGCGCUGGCGGCAGGCUUAACACAUGCAAGUCGAGCGGAGAUGAGGUGCUUGCACCUUAUCUUAGCGGCGGACGGGGAGUAAUGCUUAGGAAUCUGCCUAUUAGUGGGGGACAACAUUCCGAAAGGAAUGCUAAUACCGCAUACGUCCUACGGGAGAAAGCAGGGGAUCUUCGGACCUUGCGCUAAUAGAUGAGCCUAAGUCGGAUUAGCUAGUUGGUGGGGUAAAGGCCUACCAAGGCGACGAUCUGUAGCGGGUCUGAGAGGAUGAUCCGCAACACUGGGACUGAGACACGGCCCAGACUCCUACGGGAGGCAGCAGUGGGGAAUAUUGGACAAUGGGGGGAACCCUGAUCCAGCCAUGCCGCAUGUGUGAAGAAGGCCUUAUGGUUGUAAAGCACUUUAAGCGAGGAGGAGGCUACUGAGACUAAUACUCUUGGAUAGUGGACGUUACUCGCAGAAUAAGCACCGGCUAACUCUGUGCCAGCAGCCGCCGUAA